AUCAGGGAGAAGCUGGUUUGCUGUGGUCUCCCAAAAUGACUUUGGGCAAGACCUAGGGUGUCUUCUGGUGAAGAAUCCUGACAUUCAAAGGAAGAGUGGCAGGUGGGGGUAGGAUGGUCAGGAAGGAGUUCAAGGGUGGAUGGAAGCAAGAGAACCCCUCUAUUCAUCAACCCGGUGCCUGCCAAGAGCCGCAGGGCCCACCUAAGUCCGAGGGUCAAGAAAACCAACAGUCCUUACAAGGCCUGCAGGAACAGCCAUCUGCUCCAGGGCCAUAGAAAGAUCCAGACCGAGGAGCUGGAUUCCAUCAGGAUGGAACUGAGUCAGAUCAAAGCCCAGGUGGACAGCCUAUUGGAGAGUCUGGAGUCCAUGGAGCAGCAGAGG
rnacentral:lncRNA from 1 species